rnacentral:rRNA from 1 species
ACUAGUCUGGGAUACCACUUGGAAACAGGUGCUAAUACCGGAUAAGAAAGCGGAUCGCAUGAUCAGCUUUUAAAAGGCGGCGUAAGCUGUCGCUAUGGGAUGGCCCCGCGGUGCAUUAGCUAGUUGGUAAGGUAAAGGCUUACCAAGGCGAUGAUGCAUAGCCGAGUUGAGAGACUGAUCGGCCACAUUGGGACUGAGACACGGCCAAACUCCUACGGGAGGCAGCAGGC